rnacentral:lncRNA from 1 species
GGGCGUUGACCCGAGCCCGGACUGCUCACUCUUCCUCUCCGCCUGCCUCCAUCAUCUCCGACGUGGUGACGCCGAUUCUGGCCACCACUUGCUACAAAAAACACCACCAAAUCAUUCCCCUCAUUCUUCUCUUCAAAACCCAGUCUAUUGAUCUCAAUUGCAACGCGAUUCGGUGGUGAUCGGUCGAAGGGUAGCUCGACUGUGUUUGCCGAUUUCCUGCGUUUUUCCAACGAGUUCAUCGGACACCGAUGGUAAGUCUCAGCUCGCCUUUCUCUUCUCUUCAUCUAUGUGUCUUUGUUUCUUAAAAUCGAACCUUAAUCUCAAAAUCCCUUUUUCUCUGCCUCUUUCUGGGUUCCGGGUUCCUAGCUUCGGCGACGUAGUUCAGUGGUUUCCGACGAGCGCUUCGAGUUUUGGUGAGUCCUUAAAGCCUUGCGGGGAGUCCAGUUGCCUUGGAGUGACUUGUGGAGCUGCAACCAUUGAACUGGACCAAGGUAGAAGCUUGGUGCGUUUUGGCUAGAGGGGACCCGAGGUGGUGUGGUGCUGAUUCGGUGGAGGUGGCGCCUAAGGCAGCAGCUGGGGAUGUUUGGAAGUCCUCCAUGUUGAGGUUUGGCAAGGAGGAGCUUCUAGUUUUCGAAGAAGAACAAAUUGAAGGUAAGCUUGAUGUUUCAGCUUCUGUGUUAUGUUGUAGUGAGGUUUGAGUACGGGUUAGGUGUUUUGGUGUUGUUGCUCGGUGUUAUUUGGAGAUGGUUAAUGUCUGUUUCAUUGUUGUGGUUGAUAUUUGUCGAUAACUUGUUGAUAGGAGUUUAUGGGGAGGUUAUGGCAAAAUUCCGGCAAGUCGCCGGAAUCCGGCAAGAGAGUCCGGCGAGGGCAGAAUCAGGCAAAGACUAUUGAGGUAGUUAUCGACAUUUUUCCAUGCUGUUGUGUAUCGUUUCAGUAAUAUGAAAGUUUGUAGGUUGUAGUCGGAAAUCUUUCUAAGUGAGGAGAGUUUCUAUUUUAGGAAACUUUAUAUUUAUGAGAAACCCUUUUUGGGUGCCCUUAGUAAAUUAGUUGAUGUGUUAAAGGCAUGGAAAUUGUUUGUGACUUCGAUUGCCGGUUAAGGUUUGGUUUGGAACCGAAUAAGUUUUAGAUGCGAAGUUAUUAGAAAAUGAUUCUAAAUAUCUAUUGGUCAACCAUGGGUCAAACUUGGUCAAUUCUAGUCAACCUAGGAAAUCCUAGUCAAACUAGGAAGAAGUCGAUUCGUUAAUGUUGAUGGAGUCCGGUCUGACCAAUUUAUUCUUCUGUUUAUCGUCAGUCGUGGGAUUGGUUAGAGAGUGUGAUUAAUUAGAGGCAGCGCUCGAGGAGUAUUCCGGACAUUGGAAGGUUUAAGCCUAAUACUGUGAGUGGACUUUUGUUUUAAAUAAUAUGCAUGCUAUGGUUCAUGAAUGAACAAUUAAUUUCGUGGAGCAUUUUGACGUCAUUUUAAUUUUUGACAAUCUUAUUUCUCUUGGAGAGUUACCGAAAAUGGGAUUUUCGGUGGAUAUAAAUAUGUAAUUAUGAGAGAGUAUGUAUAUAACAGCUAGCUAGCCCUAUGUGUCUGUCCACCUUAAUGGCAUAGCAUAUAGCCGCAUUAUGGUGUGACGUGAGCGUUGGACGCGAGCGUAGUAGUCUUAUAUGAGUGUUUAAUUCAUAUAGGGGGUAUGGGCACAUAUUUAUACACCCGUCUGUCCACCUUAAUGGCGUAGUGUAGCACCGCAUUAAGGCGUGACGUGAGCGUUGAACGCGAGCGUAGUAGCCCUAUAUAGACCCAUGAAUUUAUAUAGGGAGUAUGGACGUGUGUAAAUACAUACAUAUAUUAUAGAGCCUAAGAGGCUCGAUAUUUAUGAGAUAAAAGUUUUAUCGCUUGCAGCAUGCAUUCGAUUUUCCUUAAAAAUUGUUUUGGGGAAACAUAAAUAUUUUAUUUAUUAAUUUAUUUUUGUCCACUCACUCUAACGUUUUCAAAUGUUUUCCCCUGGGCCCUUCGUUCUUAAAAAUGCCCAGUUUGCAGGAUUGCAUAGUUGAGGUCGGGCGUACAUAGAGAAGAGGCAUAGUCAAUAGUAUAGUUUCCGCUCAUUUCUAUAUUUCUAGUUCUUUUCCUCUCAAUUAGAAUUGCUCUGAACUGUGAUUAUUGCUUGUGGGAUUAUUCUUAUUAAGGUUGGAUUGGGAUUAUCAGAAGUGUGUGCAGGUUUUAUUAGGAAGGGUUGUCCAUUCAUUUCUAUAUUUCUAGUUCUUUUCCUCUCAAUUAGAAUUGCUCUGAACUGUGAUUAUUGCUUGUGGGAUUAUUCUUAUUAAGGUUGGAUUGGGAUUAUCAGAAGUGUGUGCAGGUUUUAUUAGGAAGGGUUGUCCAUUUUCAAGGGAGGUUAAGCCGAAUUUUUCGGUAAACUUUCCUUGGAGGUGGUCCCCGCAGGAUUUACUUCGGAUUUCAGGGUGAAAUUCGGGGUGGGUCUUGACAAGGGGUCAGGUUCCAUUCUCUUGGGAAUGUUACUUCAUGCCAUUUCGUGACAUUUUUUCUUGAGAAUUAUUUUUUGGGUUGGUGAGAACAGAUGUAGUAAUUCCAGGGCUGUUUAGAAACCUGGUAUUAGGGGUUACAUUUGAACUCAUCAACUUAUAAUAGAUUCGAUAAUCUAUCGCUAGUUCCAUCAUUCCUUUUUUCAUAGAAAUCUCAUCUGUCUUGAUUCUCAGUUUAAGACAGUGAGCAGCAUCCCUAAGAUGCGUUGUGAAGUUUGGAAAAACAUUAAAAUAUGCAACUUGAUUGCACAAAGAAGCUUCUACUGUUCCUAACAGACUUUUCUUGAAAUCUGUUAUUCUAUCGUCUUUUAGGACACAUAGGACAGAACAGUCAAUAUCAUCUCUAGCUAAGAGCUUUAUUCCUACCUGUACUGCACCUAUAUGCAUAUAGGAAUAUUUUUUCUGGAAAGCUUCACUUACUUCUUUUGGAGUUAUCACCCUGAUAUCUGUUUCUCCACCUGUGGCUAGAACUGUUAAUUCAAGAAUCUUGAAUCUGUGAGAAUCCAUAAUAAAGGAUCCUUUCUUAUAUAUCUCAUUGAACCUAAAUCUAG